GAUGAACGCUGGCGGCGUGCCUAAUACAUGCAAGUCGAGCGAACGGACGAGAAGCUUGCUUCUCUGAUGUUAGCGGCGGACGGGUGAGUAACACGUGGAUAACCUACCUAUAAGACUGGGAUAACUUCGGGAAACCGGAGCUAAUACCGGAUAAUAUUUUGAACCGCAUGGUUCAAAAGUGAAAGACGGUCUUGCUGUCACUUAUAGAUGUAUCCGCGCUGCAUUAGCGAGUUGGUAAGGUAACGGCUUACCAAGGCAAGGAUGCCAAGCCGACCUGAGAGGGUGAUCGGCCACACUGGAACGGAGACACGGUCCAGACUCCUACGGGAGGCAGCAGUAGGGAAUCUUCCGCAAAGGGCGAAAGCCUGACGGAGCAACGCCGCGUGAGUGAUGAAGGUCUUCGGAUCGUAAAACUCUGUUAUUAGGGAAGAACAUAUGUGUAAGUAACUGUGCACAUCUUGACGGUACCUAAUCAGAAAGCCGCGGCUAACUACGUG
rnacentral:rRNA from 1 species